AUUGAACGCUGGCGGCAGGCUUAACACAUGCAAGUCGAGCGGAGCGAGGGUGCUUGCACCUUAGCUUAGCGGCGGACGGGUGAGUAAUGCUUAGGAAUCUGCCUAUUAGUGGGGGACAACAUUCCGAAAGGAAUGCUAAUACCGCAUACGCCCUACGGGGAAAGCAGGGGAUCUUCGGACCUUGCGCUAAUAGAUGAGCCUAAGUCGGAUUAGCUAGUUGGUGGGGUAAAGGCCUACCAAGGCGACGAUCUGUAGCGGGUCUGAGAGGAGGAUCCGCCACACUGGGACUGAGACACGGCCCAGACUCCUACGGGAGGUAGCAGUGGGGAAUAUUGGACAAUGGGCGGAAGCCUGAUCCAGCCAUGCCGCGUGUGUGAAGAAGGCCUUUUGGUUGUAAAGCACUUUAAGCGAGGAGGAGGCUCUUAAGGUUAAUACCCUUGAUGAGUGGACGUUACUCGCAGAAUAAGCACCGGCUAACUCUGUGCCAGCAGCCGCGGUAAUAC
rnacentral:rRNA from 1 species